GAUGAAGAACGUAGCGAAAUGCGAUACUUGGUGUGAAUUGCAGAAUCCCGUGAACCAUCGAGUCUUUGAACGCAAGUUGCGCCCGAAGCCUCGGCUAAGGGCACGUCUGCCUGGGCGUCACGCAUCGCGUCUCCCCCAAACCGCCAAGGCGGAGGGGAAGGAAGAUGGCUUCCCGUGCCUCACCCGGCGCGGUUGGCCUAAAUUUGGAGCCCGCGGCACUUAGCUCUCGCGGCGAUAGGUGGCGAACAAGGCCUUGGCCGUGCAAACAACCCGCUGCGAAGCUCUAUGUCACGUGCGCUCGUCGGACCCUUUGAAGUUGCCUUCGGUGACUUAAAACCUUUGCGACCCCAGGUCAGGCGGGGCUACCCGCUGAAUUUAAGCAUAUCAAUAAGCGGAGGA
rnacentral:misc_RNA from 1 species